rnacentral:misc_RNA from 1 species
UCCCAUUCGACACGGGCAGUCUGUCUAGAGUGCACCUUUCGGUUAGCAACUAGACACAAGGGUUUCGCUCGUUACGGGACUUAACCCAACAUCUCACGACACGAGCUGACGACAGCCAUGCAACACCUGAUGAAGGCUCCCCUUGCGGGGUCGUUACCGUUUCCGGUUUCUACCACCUCCACUUCAAGCCCGGGUAAGGUUCUUCGCGUUGCAUCGAAUUGAACCACAUGCUCCACCGCUUGUGCGAGCCCCCGUCAAUUCCUUUGAGUUUUAACCUUGCGGCCGUACUCCCCAGGCGGGACACUUAACGCGUUAGCUGCAGCAGAGAAGGGCAAGCCCUCCUCCACUCAGUGUCCAUCGUUUACGGCUAGGACUAC